AAUUUUUGUUUCAAAUGUACAUCACAUUGCAAAUUAAUUAACAUUUAUUAAGAUUAAAUUGUAAUAAUUUUCUAACUGUAACAUUAUUAAAUGUUACAGUUGAUGCUUUAGUUAUUUAUUUAAACAAAUAGCUAAAACAUCUUUGAGCUGUACAAAAUUGCUUUGCAGGCUACUAGUUUGAGACCACUGUUAUAGGACACUUGAGUGUGGUUAUUUCUCUCUUAUUGAUAUCUCUUGACUGAUGAUGACAUUUAUUUUUAUAAAACAGAUGAAAAUAUAUUUGAUAUUUAGCCCUUUGGAAAAUGAAGGAUGAAAUAAAGAGUAUAGGAAAGCAUGAGGAAAGAGAGAAGAAUCCUUCCAGGAAAAGUAUGGCAGAUCAUUAGCGGAAGGGAGACUACAUAUUAUAAGAGAGAACUAAUGCUUCCUCUUACAACUGGUAAUGUGAAGACCAAUAAUAUGUUACAAAGAUCAACCAGUAUGUGAUCUUUGUAACUGUAAGUUUACUAUAAAGCAUAUUUUAGUUAAAUGUUCUUAUUUUAUUGCGAAACAUUUACAAAAUUUUAAUUUUGUAUUUAAUCUUUUUAACCUUUCUGGAAAAGAUUUUAAUUAUUCUGAUCUUCUUACCUGAUGUUGAUAUUUUAUGUAAGAUUCAGUUAUUUUGACUUAUUUUGAUCUAGUUAUGACUUUUUAUAGCAUUUUAAUAAUUUCUGUUUUUACAUUCACCAGUGUGUUUUAUGAAUUAUUGUUUAUUACUUGUUUUGUUUGGUUUUAUCAAAUGCUCUAUUACACUACAUGCUUGAGUAUUGUUUGUUUAUUAUUUAUUUAUUUUGUUUUCUUUUUACAAAUGCCUUUUACACAUUGCUUUUGUGAACAUUGGCAUUGUCUGAUCCAGACAACUCUUAUAUUACAAAACAAGACUAAACACCAAACUCUUCAUUAAUAGUAACGUUGUUC
rnacentral:lncRNA from 1 species